UACGUAGGGUGCGAGCGUUAAUCGGAAUUACUGGGCGUAAAGCGUGCGCAGGCGGUUUUGUAAGCCAGAUGUGAAAUCCCCGGGCUCAACCUGGGAAUGGCAUUUGGGACUGCAAGGCUGGAGUGCGGCAGAGGGAGACUGGAAUUCCUGGUGUAGCAGUGAAAUGCGUAGAUAUCAGGAGGAAUACCGAUGGCGAAGGCAGGUCUCGUGGGC
rnacentral:rRNA from 1 species